AGAUAAAGCCAAACCUGUCGCGAGGCAGGGGCGGAAAACCACGGGUCUUUAAAAGAUAGCCGGGUUGCC
rnacentral:ncRNA from 1 species